GGAAUUGUAGCUCAGUGGUAGAGUGCUUACCUAGCAUGUGUGAGGCACUGGGUUUGAUUCUCAGCACCA
rnacentral:tRNA from 1 species